CGUAUGAUGCUGCUGCCAGCCCGCGCGCCGACGUGACUGAAGCGGGCGGCCUGUGUCGGUCUGACACAGUACACAAUCAUAACCGGGUUUUU
rfam:Pantoea vagans C9-1, complete genome.